GCGGGGGUGCCCGAGCUAGGUCAAAGGGGGCGGUUCGGCUCCGCUGGCGUAGGCCUGCCCGGGUUCGAAUCCCGGCCCCCGCACCA
rnacentral:tRNA from 1 species